rnacentral:rRNA from 1 species
UACGUAGGGUGCGAGCGUUGUCCGGAAUUAUUGGGCGUAAAGAGCUCGUAGGCGGUGUGUCACGUCGGCCGUGAAAACCUGCAGCUUAACUGUGGGCGUGCGGUCGAUACGGGCAUCACUGGAGUUCGGCAGGGGGAGACUGGAAUUCCUGGUGUAGCGGUGAAAUGCGCAGAUAUCAGGAGGAACACCGGUGGCGAAAGGCGGGGUCUCUGGGGCCGAUACUGACGCUGAGGAGCGAAAGCGUGGGGGAGCAAAACAGG